GGCAAUUACUAGGAUAGGCACCAAAAUCUGGAAAUUCCCACACUAGCAGGUUCCCUGCACCCUGCUCCCUCCUUGGAUGGAAGGAAUCUGUUUGCGGCGAUUGUAGACUACAGCGAGGCUUCCUCAGAACUUGCAAACCAGGGUUCAUUACCCUCCUUGUAGAGAGGGCCACUAUUUCAAGGAUUAACCUUGAGGCAGCUAGUUGGCAAGACCGGAAAUAAUUUGGUACUAGCAUCCCUACCCCACAGAGUAUGAGAGAUUUGGAGGACUCCUAAACCUGCCCUUGACCAGGGCAGGGCCAAGCUUGACCAAUGGAGCCUCCCAUCUCAGGAGCUCAAAGGCAAACAAGUUUGGAGAGAAUAUAAUGCUUGGAGCAAGACAUCAUUUGAUGGAACGGAGUCAGGGGGAGCUCAGGAACACGCAGGUCAGACAGCAGCGAGGAUAGGAAGAUUUCAUCUCCUGCGCUAUCAUCACCAUGGAUUGUUUUACUUGCUACCUGUGGCAACAGGCUCCUUGGACAAACAGCAAUCCCCCUAAAGCGGCGUGAUUCAGAGAGAACGUGGAACUUAGAGACAGACAACCCCUUCCAGCCCAAGGUCUGCUGCCUAUUACUGAUAUCAUCUGGGCAAGUAACCUAACCUUUCUGCUUCGGUUUACUCCUCUGUAAAAUGGGGUGAUAGUACCAGCACUAUCCUUGCCUAGAUCAAAUAGAAUAGAUGCUACAUAUCAUCAACCUCAUCCCCACCCACACCCCAUACACACACACCAACAUACACACACCCUGAUGCCCAGGCUCAAGGAGGGAGAAAGAUUGGAAAUUAUUUACUCGUCCAUCUGGAGUGAGCUCACCUGGGCCAGCUGCCAGCUGUAGCCUCCUGUGCUUUUGCUUCCUUCCCUGCCUGAUCUGGAAAUGCUGAAGGCUCCAGACUGGGCCCUCGGGUCUCUGUUCUUCUUUAGCUACAUUUCAUCCCUGGAUGACUUCAUCCAGUCUCCACUUCAAUUGCCAUGAGUACUCUGAC
rnacentral:lncRNA from 1 species